UACAUGGGGUGCAAACGUUGCUCGGAAUCAUUGGGCGUAAAGCGCGCGUAGGCGGCUACCUAAGUCGGAUGUGAAAGCCCCUGGCUUAACUGGGGAAGUGCACCCGAAACUGGGUAGCUAGAGUGCAAAAGAGGGUCGCGGAAUUCCCGGUGUAGAGGUGAAAUUCGUAGAUAUCGGGAGGAACACCGGUGGCGAAGGCGGCGACCUGGGUUGACACUGACGCUGAGGAGCGAAAGCGUGGGUAGCAAACAGG
rnacentral:rRNA from 1 species